rnacentral:rRNA from 1 species
AUGCAAGUCGAGCGGAGACAGUGAGUAGCUUGCUAUGAGCUGUUUUAGCGGCGGACGGGUGAGUAACGCGUGAGCAACCUUUCCCAGACAGGGGAAUAACACACCGAAAGGUGUACUAAUACCGCAUAAGACCACGGGAUCACAUGGUUCUGAGGUAAAAGAUUUAUCGGUUUGGGGUGGGCUCGCGUCCGAUUAGGUAGUUGGUGAGGUAACGGCCCACCAAGCCGACGAUCGGUAGCCGACCUGAGAGGGUGAUCGGCCACAUUGGGACUGAGACACGGCCCAAACUCCUACGGGAGGCAGCAGUGGGGAAUAUUGGGCAAUGGAGGAAACUCUGACCCAGCAACGCCGCGUGGAGGAAGAAGGUUUUCGGAUCGUAAACUCCUGUCCUUGGAGACGAGUAGAAGACGGUAUCCAAGGAGGAAGCCCCGGCUAACUACGUGCCAGCAGCCGCGGUAAUACGUAGGGGGCAAGCGUUGUCCGGAAUAAUUGGGCGUAAAGGGCGCGUAGGCGGCUCGGUAAGUCUGGAGUGAAAGUCCUGCUUUUAAGGUGGGAAUUGCUUUGGAUACUGUCGGGCUUGAGUGCAGGAGAGGUUAGUGGAAUCCCCAGUGUAGCGGUGAAAUGCGUAGAGAUUGGGAGGAACACCAGUGGCGAAGGCGACUAACUGGACUGUAACUGACGCUGAGGCGCGAAAGUGUGGGGAGCAAACAGGAUUAGAUACCCUGGUAGUCCACACU